rnacentral:rRNA from 1 species
UUAUUGUUUUGUUCCGACAAACAGUAGUCUAUUACUUACUAUGCAUGGUAGUUUUGUUCGCGAACUUUAACCCAGCUAUAAAUAUUGGGCGAUCUUAGUAAUAAGAACCCAUUUUAAGUAACUAGGCAUCUUGACUAAGCAGGUGCCAGCAGUCGCGGUCAUACCUGCAAGAUGAGAUUACAUAUAUCAGAUUAAGUGUUUAAUAUGAAUUUUAUUUGGAACGGGUAAAAUCUGUAAAAUAACUUUAAUAACAGUAUUAGCGCAGUACUUAAACUCUUAAGGGAAACCAGGAUUAGAUACCCUGUUAUUUCAGAGUGAAAAACCAAAUCUGAGGACUAAGACUAACAUAGUUAAAACUUUAAGAACAUGGCGGCAGCUCAAACUUUUAGGGGAACUUACCAGAUAAACGAUAACCCACGAACUUAAUUUACUUCUAUUAUUAAAGCUUGUAUACCGCCGUUUCCAAAUGCUACUUUAGGUAGCUUUAAAACGCCCCAAAUCCACGCAACAAAACAGGUCUAAGUGCAGCCUAUAUAGAAGACAUGAGGUGAGUUACAAUAUGGGCUCUUUUUCGAAUUAAUCCUGUAACGGAAAAUAAAGGUGGACUUAACUGUAAAGGAUAGCUAUUAACAUUUCUUGAAUGUGCUACAGCUGUGCACAAAUCGCCCGUCACUCUCGUUGGAAAAGGAGAUAAGUCGUAACAUAGUAGGGGUACUGGAAAGUGCCCGU